AUUGAACGCUGGCGGCAGGCCUAACACAUGCAAGUCGAGCGAGCGGCGGACGGGUGAGUAAUGUAUGGGGACUGCCCGAUAGAGGGGGGUAACUACUGGAAACGGUGGCUAAUACCGCAUACUGUCGGAAUACCCAUUUGGGACUAGCUAGUAGGUAAGGUAAUGGCUUACCUAGGCGACGAUCCCUAGCUGGCCUGAGAGGAUGAUCAGCCACACUGGAACUGAGACACGGCCCAGACUCCUACGGAGGCAGCAGUGGGGAAUAUUGCAAAAUGGGCGAAAGCCUGAUGCAGCCAUGCCGCGUGUAUGAAGAAGGCCCUAGGGUUGUAAAGUACUUUCAGUCGGGAGGCGUUACCGACAGAAGAAGCACCGGCUAACUCCGUGCCAGCCGCCGCGGUAAUAC
rnacentral:rRNA from 1 species